rnacentral:rRNA from 1 species
NNNGACCUCAGCUCGAGCGUGACGACCCGCUGGAUUUAAGCAUAUUACUAAGCGGAGGAAAAGAAACUAACCAGGAUUCCCUCAGUAGCGGNGAGUGAAGUGGGAAGAGCCCAUCGCUUAAUCCUCGCGUCCCAGUGGCGUGUGGGAGAUGCGGCGUGAGGUAGCCGUGGCUUAUCGGCGACGCGGGGCCGACGUCCUUGUGAAGGAGGCUUAUCCCACAGAGUGUGUUAGGCCCCCACAGGCUCCCGUUCCGGUGGCCAUCAGGCUACUAAGAGUCGGGUUGUUUUGGAAUGCAGCCCAAAGACGGGUGGUAAACUCCAUCCAAGGCUAAAUACUAAGCACGAGACCGAUAGACGACAAGUACCAUGAGGGAAAGU